rnacentral:rRNA from 1 species
CAGUCGCCGCGGUAAUACAGAGGGUGCGAGCGUUAAUCGGAUUUACUGGGCGUAAAGCGUGCGUAGGCGGCUUUUUAAGUCGGAUGUGAAAUCCCUGAGCUUAACUUAGGAAUUGCAUUCGAUACUGGGAAGCUAGAGUAUGGGAGAGGAUGGUAGAAUUCCAGGUGUAGCGGUGAAAUGCGUAGAGAUCUGGAGGAAUACCGAUGGCGAAGGCAGCCAUCUGGCCUAACACUGACGCUGAGGUACGAAAGCAUGGGGAGCAAACAGGAUUAGAGACCCCAGUAGUCCCUGUCUCUUAUAC